rnacentral:rRNA from 1 species
CGAACGCUGGCGGCAGGCCUAACACAUGCAAGUCGCAGGGGAAGCUUGACUUCGGUUGAGUGGAGACUGGCGCACGGGUGAGUAACGCGUGGGAAUUUGCCCAGGUGUGCGGAAUAACCGCUGGAAACGGCGGCUAAUACCGCAUACGCCUUUCGAGGGAAAGCCUUUCGGGGUGCACUUGGAGGAGCCCGCGUCCGAUUAGCUAGUUGGUGGGGUAAUGGCCUACCAAGGCUGCGAUCGGUAGCUGGUCUGAGAGGAUGAUCAGCCACACUGGGACUGAGACACGGCCCAGACUCCUACGCGGAGGCAGCAGUGGGGAAUAUUGGACAAUGGGCGCAAGCCUGAUCCAGCCAUGCCGCGUGAGUGAAGAAGGCCUUANGGUUGUAAAACUCUUUCACCCGUGAAGAUGAUGACNGUAGCGGGAGAAGAAGCCCCGGCUAACUCCGUGCCAGCAGCCGCGGUAAU